AAACAAGAAGAGAGGUAGUGAAUUGCCUACAGUCAAAGUGGCAGAGCCGGGCCUGGAACCCCACUCUUCCUGUCAACAGGAAUAUGCAGCCUCACCAGAGGGAGCCGGCACUAGCAGACACCCAGAAUGUUACAGCAGAAGAGCACAGCUGCCUUCCUUCAAUGUAGAGUGUGAAAGUGAAAAGACCUGAAGCACUUUAAAGUGGGGUGGACUCUGAUUACUUAAUGCAAUGUCAUAUAUGCAGUCACUGCAGUGCUGCUUAAAAGGAUGGAGACAUUAGUCAAUCAAUGGCUCCAGUGAUCUCAAAAACACGGAUGAGUUUAUGCUAUUAUUAAAACCAUCCCAGGGUUGGUAAUGCCUUUGCUAAUUUAGUAUUGUUUCCAAUCCAGCCCUGGCCACAGUUUGAAGGGAAGUGUGUUCUGCUGGACUGGUUGAGAAGGUAUGAGGCCUACAGUGAUGUGUAGGCCUAAUAGAGUUUUCUCCCAAGCAGGAAAAUAAGGUGAGUGGGCAAGCGGACAUUGUUCUGGAGCUGCUAGCACUUCAUUGCUCUCACAGCUGUACUACGUUCCAUGCUGGCAUCAUGUACAUUUUAUCCUUGAAUGUCAACUGCAAGAAACAAGACCCCUUUGUUCAUCAAAUCAGCUAAGGAAGGCUCACUUCUUACUAACUCAGUUUAGACCAGUGUGUUAAAAAGAAAAUCCCAGUUGCAUUUCUGUAAAGAUCAAAGUGAACUUAAGUAAUACAGUCACUCCCCUGGGAGGGAGCAAACCAGAACAGUAGGAUGAUGGGGAGGGGGAACAGGAUGUGCAUUGAAUCUAAAAAUCCUUCUAUAACUGCAGUUGCUGGAUAGAAACAAAGCUUUAUAACAUCAGAAAUGUGCCAUAAAUGGAAAAAAUAAUUAGUAUUUGCAACAUGCCUAAUGAUGAACAUUAUAUGCAUGUAAACAAAGACGGGGCAGCAAUACCAGACUCCACAUAAAGCAAUUAAUCUCUGGAUUUUGGUAUUCUGUAAACCUUCUUCUACCUGGAACUGAAACUAAGUAUGUUAAACAAAACUGGAAGCCACCAGAUAUCACUGACCGUGCUUUUCCUGGCUCAUCUUUAACAAUCCCAAAGAACACCUGGUGCUGGGAGAGAUUUCUCCUCCUUCCAGCUGAUCAGGAAUAAGAGACAGAUCUCCAUGCCAGCUCCUCCAGUACUUCCUUAAGCAGGAUGCUGUUGCUUGAACAUCUGUGCCAUCCUUUCUGAAUGUUCCUUGGAGCCCUCCUGGGGAUAGAUGCUGCAACACAGUGGAAGCUUUCACAUCCAGUACAGGUGCAUGAGCCUUUCGAGAUGCUCAAAUUUUAAAUACAACUCUAUCAAAUCUCUAUUUUAUGAGCAUAAAGCAUCCUCUGACUUGUUUAAAUAAUAAUUAAAGAAAGCUGGGUUGAGCCUUCAAUUUGUAAAGCUGUGAUGUACAGAAAAGGUCCCCAUCUAGCAUAGUCUCUGGCUGACAGAACUGGCAGCAUUUAAUAGGACGGAAGAUGCCCUGUAUGCAACAUAGACUUCUUCACUGGCUAAACCUAAAACUGUAUACACAAUGUACAGUCACUCACAGGGGUAGUGUGGUUGUGGGCUCUUCGGACACUCACUGUUGACACUCAGCAAUGUGGGGAAACCCUACAAUAUCCUUAGGCUUAGGAGCCCUGAUAUCUAGGCCAUCCUCAUUUGUGUCUUUGACCCUGUCCCUGCAGCUGGUUAGAGUGAAGUGAUUGGUUUAGCACUUGAUAAGACUCCAAAUGUAUCCCGGAGUUGGAACUUUUGUUUGUGUCCAGUGCUGGGGUUUCCGAGCAGGAGGUUGGAGUGGUGGUUGUGAGAGCGGGAGUCCACGCAGCAUGUCCUUCAUCAUCCAUAAUGUCAACUGUGAAUAAAAGGGGGGAGUCUCAUUAGUGUGACAGGGGCUGUGUAUGGAUCUCUGAAGACAGGUGCUGGUUCUGUUCUUCCCAUGAGCUUGGAAAACAAGCCCCCGUCUUCACUCAAGAGGUCGAUUCGAACAGAUGAGGCCUCAUCUAUGUGCAAGCUGUACCGCCUUAAUUAUGCCAGUAUAGUUAAAGCAGUACAACCAGCCUACUGCAGAUGCAGUUCUACUGCUGUAGCUUGUUCCCACAGGAGAAAGGGGAAAUGUUGUACCAGUAUAAGGUACCAUGUACUCACCUUACUAUAUCCACAUUAGGGCUUGUAUUGGUAUAAAUAGAGAGGUUAAAAAAAAUCACUCCCCUUCCCAAAAUAGUUAUACUGUAGCGUAGACCAGAUCUGUCUUAGCCAAGUUCAGUGGUAAUUUACUGCUGUGUAACCCACACCAUAGAUAAGUACAUGAACAAUGGGCAGUAGGAAAAAACAAGGGAGGAGGCAGUGUAGGUGCACUUAGCCCUGCUGCAACACAACUAGAUUUACCCCAUUGGCACAUUUGACAUUCUCUCUGAAACCAGCUCAUUAUCUGCAUCACAAGACACCCAAGAAAGAUGCUUGACUAUUGCUUGAGGUUCUUCCAUGGCUGUUCAGAUUAGAGUCACAAGCCUCACGCUUGUCUUUAGAGGACCCUAAUCUGUGUCUUAAAUUGCUCAAAGACUAAAAAUUAAGUUUUACUAGGUGACAUGGAGUACUGCGAAAAUUACACUAAAAUUAGGAAGAAAAGGACAUCAGCAAUUCUGCUACUAAAGAUGAUGAAAUAGAACCCAGCUACCUCUCUUGGCACUGCAGGGGUCAAAGGAGUAAAAGGCAACAUAAAUUUAUUUUAAGCAAGUGGCACCAGCAGUGUUGAUACUGAAUUCCCUGUUGAGUAGGGAAAUACUAUUCUUACAUCACUACAUGACCUUCCAUUUCUAACUGCUCUAAUGGGAAACAUGUUAAUGCCAUUAUAAGUAAGUCUUGCAAUCAGUCUUUGAGUCUUUAACCAUGUAAAACAGCUGCUAUUAAAUGGCAUGAAGUUGGUGUUAGACUUCCAGCCCAGCACAUGAAAGGUAUGAGCUUGCCUAUUAAAUGCUUAGAUUCUACAGUGUUCUAUGUCCGCCCAUAGAAACAACACAUCUGCUGCAGUCAAGAUUGCAUUACAUCAGUCCCCAAAAAGGGCCAUUCUUAAUUGUGCUAUUUCAUGAUGAUUCUCCCAGUGCACUUAGUUUAUGGGAAAGAAAAAUCUCCUCUUUUUUUAAAUGUGCUUAAUUAAUUUUGGCCCCAGUCAAAACCCAGGAAGAGUUUAUCCUUUGCUCCAAGCUAUGGUUCUGUGACUGGCGGCCAGUGAUUAAAAACAGCCUGAGCAGGGGGGACAGGGGCUGGUUGUCCAGUAUUAAGACUUGCUGGGGUGGGAAGGAGAAUG